rnacentral:sRNA from 1 species
AGUGAAGCUGGGCGCCCUCCGGGCUUGAGCUUCUGAGAGUCGGGUCCGGCGCGCGGGCUACCGGAUGGCGGAACCGCAGGCGGAGUCGGAGCCCCUACUGGGCCGGGCCCGCGGCGGUGGCGGCGACUGCCCAGCGGGGCUGACCACUUGCCGUAGCAUCCAAGUCGGCCCUGGUGCCGCGGCCAGGUGGGACCUCUGCAUUGAUCAGGCUGUGGUCUUCAUCGAAGAUGCUAUUCAGGGUUACCUGUUUGGGUGGGCCCAUUUCCAGAAAAACCUUUGGCUGCUGGGCUACCUCGUGGUGCUGGUGGUGUCUCUGGUGGACUGGACCGUGUCCCUGAGUCUUGUGUGUCAUGAGCCCCUGCGGAUCCGCCGGCUCCUCCGCCCCUUCUUCCUGCUGCAGAACUCCUCUAUGAUGAAGAAGACCUUGAAAUGCAUCCGCUGGUCGCUGCCGGAAAUGGCCAGCGUCGGGCUGCUGCUGGCCAUCCACCUGUGCCUCUUCACCAUGUUCGGGAUGUUGCUGUUCGCCGGUGGGAAGCAGGAUGAUGAGCAGGACAGGGAGAGGCUGACCUACUUCCAGAACCUGCCUGAGUCUCUGACUUCCCUCCUGGUGCUGCUGACCACGGCCAACAACCCCGAUGUGAUGAUUCCUGCGUAUUCCAAGAACCGGGCCUAUGCCAUCUUCUUCAUAGUCUUCACUGUGAUAGGAAGCCUGUUUCUGAUGAACCUGCUGACAGCCAUCAUCUACAGUCAGUUCCGGGGCUACCUGAUGAAAUCUCUCCAGACCUCGCUGUUUCGGAGGCGGCUGGGAACCCGGGCUGCCUUUGAAGUCCUGUCCUCCAUGGUGGGGGAGGGAGGAGCCUUCCCUCAGGCAGUUGGGGUGAAGCCCCAGAACUUGCUGCAGGUGCUUCAGAAGGUCCAGCUGGACAGCUCCCACAAGCAGGCCAUGAUGGAGAAGGUGCGUUCCUACGGCAGUGUUCUGCUCUCAGCUGAGGAGUUUCAGAAGCUCUUCAAUGAGCUUGACAGAAGUGUGGUUAAAGAGCACCCGCCGAGGCCCGAGUACCAGUCUCCGUUUCUGCAGAGCGCCCAGUUCCUCUUUGGCCACUACUACUUUGACUACCUGGGGAACCUCAUCGCCCUGGCAAACCUGGUGUCCAUUUGCGUGUUCCUGGUGCUGUAUGCAGAUGUGCUGCCUGCUGAGCGUGAUGACUUCGUCCUGGGGAUUCUCAACUGCGUCUUCAUUGUCUACUACCUGUUGGAGAUGCUGCUCAAGGUCUUUGCCCUGGGCCUGCGAGGGUACCUGUCCUACCCUAGCAACGUGUUUGACGGGCUCCUCACCAUUGUCCUGCUGGUAAAGUAGGCGCGUCCGAGGCCGGCCUCUCCUGGGCGGGUGGGUGAGUGCCACCUGGGCUCUGUGCUGGCCCAUCUGAGGCCUCCCCUGAGGCCCAGAGGCUGUGGGAAGGUGGGCUCCUGCUCUCAGUGGUGAGGGCUGGCUUCCCUGCUGGCCGAGUUGCUCAGUGGGCAGCCGGUGGGGGCUUUAGGAGGCUGGGUUUCUACUGCAUCUGAGCGUCAUGGGGGGCAGGCUGCCACUCCCGACCCCCAGGGGAAGCCCUGAAGGACCUAUAGCCCUGGCCAGCGACUCCAGCCCGGAGCCCAGCCUCUAAUGUCACUGAUAGAUGGUGUGACCUCAGCAUGGGUGGAGCGAGGGGCCAGGGGGCUCUCAGGCACCAGGGUGUUCUCAGGAAAUGCUUACACUUCCUUUCCCCAGACCCUGUGGGAGUGAGGGCAUGUCACACUUGGUGUGUGUGUCAUAAGCAGCCACAUGAGAGUGACGUUUCCUGUAGCCAGCAGGCCCCUCGGCACACGGGUGAAGAGAAAUUUGAGAAGGGCCCUGUGGUCUGUCCUUGACUCAGUAUCUUCUCUGCCACCUCCGCCACCCCAAUCUGUGCAGUCCCCCGAUUCCUGAGGCCAGGGUGUCUUUCCAGCUGAAAGAAGUCCCGACAUCUGGAACCAACCCAUGGGGUCCAGGACCAAGCUCUGAUUUCUCCCCAAAAGCCCCUUUUGGGGAGAAUGUGUUAGAGAUGAGCUUUAUAAUUCCUUUAAGGGCCACCUAGAUUAGUGUUGCUGUAGCGAAGCCUUCUUUUCUUUUGUAAUUAAAGGUUUUGGAGAUCUC